AAGUCGUAACAAGGUUUCCGUAGGUGAACCUGCGGAGGGAUCAUUAUUGAAUUUAAUGUAGAGUUGGUUGUAGCUGGCUCCCUUGGAUUAAAUUUCUUUGGGGGCAUGUGCACACCUUCUCUUUCAUCCACACACACCUGUGAACCUGUGAGAUAGUAGUUUGGGGACUUUAAUGGACCCACUUCUGUCUACUUAAUUCAUAAAAAUCAUUUAAUUUAAAACGAAUGUAAUGGAUGUAACGCAUCUAAUACUAA
rnacentral:misc_RNA from 1 species